rnacentral:lncRNA from 1 species
AAUUCUUCAUUUAAUCAAUUAACUCAUGAAAACAAAACAAAAUAGCAUCAAACACAAAUGUCACAUUAACUCACGGUGUGAAAACAUAAUCAUAAGCAUCAUCUAUCAUAUUCAUAUCAAACAAUAAAGAAAAGAAAACUCCAUUGAAGGUUAAGGGAAACCUCCUCACCCUUUCAUGAUUAAGGCACCCUUAGAUAAAUAAUUCACCUUACUUUAUAAAUCCAUCAAAAGCAAGCAAGCAACUCCUCUAUGAUUCUCCUUUGCCAAACCCUAACUCUCCGAUGCUCUUCCUCUCAAUUUUUUUUCAUGUACUGACAAAU